rnacentral:rRNA from 1 species
GAUGAACGCUGGCGGCAUGCCUAAUACAUGCAAGUCGAACGAGAGGAAGAAAAGCUUGCUGUUCUGAAUCUAGUGGCGAACGGGUGAGUAACACGUAGGUAACCUGCCCAGGUGCCCGGGAUAACUUCUGGAAAGGGAUGCUAAAACCGGAUAGGUAGCAGACAAGCAUUUGACUGCUAUUAAAGUGGCUAAGGCCAUGAACAUGGAUGGACCUGCGGUGGAUGAGGUAGUGGGUGAGGUAACGGCCCACCAAGGCGACGAUGCGUAGCCGGCCUGAGAGGGCGGACGGCCACAUUGGGGCUGAGACACGGCCCAAACUCCUACGGGAGGCAGCAGUAGGGAAUUUUCGUCAAUGGGGGGAACCCUGAACGAGCAAUGCCGCGUGAGUGAGGAAGGUCUUCGGAUCGUAAAGCUCUGUUGUAAGAGAAAAACGACAUUCAUAGGGAAUGAUGAGUGAGUGAUGGUAUCUUACCAGAAAGUCACGGCUAACUACGUGCCAGCCGCCGCCGUAACAC